GCAGAUCAACAUUGGAGUGAUGGGGCCUUAGAGGCCGACUUACGACGAGCUGACUUCAUAUUUAGACGACGUGCCAUGGAAGAUGCAUACAUGGCAUUGAAGUUUAUAAGAAACAUUCAUGACAUGAUGGCAAACAAAUUUUACCAAUUUCCUUCAAAUGAAAGGUCUUUCUCUCUCAAAGAUAAAAUGGGAUUCAUUACACU